GAUGAAGAACGCAGCGAAAUGCGAUAGGUAGUGUGAAUUGCAGAAUUCAGUGAAUCAUCGAAUCUUUGAACGCACAUUGCGCCCCUUGGUAUUCCAUGGGGCAUGCCUGUUCGAGCGUCAUUUGUACCUUCAAGCUUUGCUUGGUGUUGGGUGUUUGUCUCGCCUUUGCGUGUAGACUCGCCUUAAAAUAAUUGGCAGCCGGCGUAUUGAUUUCGGAGCGCAGUACAUCUCGCGCUUUGCACUCAUAACGACAGCGUCCAAAAGUACAUUUUACACUCUUGACCUCGGAUCAGGUAGGGAUACCCGCUGAACUUAAGCAUAUCAAUAAGCGGAGGA
rnacentral:misc_RNA from 1 species